AAAAAAGGUAAGCUACUAAGAGCGAAUGGUGGAUGCCUUGACUGGUAAAGGCGAUGAAGGACGUACUAGACUGCGAUAAGCUACGGGGAGCUGUCAAGAAGCUUUGAUCCGUAGAUUUCCGAAUGGGGCAACCCAAUGUAUAGAGAUAUACAUUACCUAUAUAGGAGCGAACGAGGGGAAUUGAAACAUCUUAGUACCCUCAGGAAAAGAAAUCAAUAGAGAUUGCGUCAGUAGCGGCGAGCGAAAGCGCAAGAGGGCAAACCCAGUGCUUGCACUGGGGGUUGUAGGACUGCAAUGUGCAAGAGCUGAGUUUAGCAGAACAUUCUGGAAAGUAUAGCCAUAGAGGGUGAUAGUCCCGUAUGCGAAAAACAAAGCUUAGCUAGCAGUAUCCUGAGUAGGGCGGGACACGAGGAAUCCUGUCUGAAUCCGGGUCGACCACGAUCCAACCCUAAAUACUAAUACCAGAUCGAUAGUGCACAAGUACCGUGAGGGAAAGGUGAAAAGAACUGAGGUGAUCAGAGUGAAAUAGAACCUGAAACCAUUUGCUUACAAUCAUUCAGAGCACUAUGUAGCAAUACAGUGUGAUGGACUGCCUUUUGCAUAAUGAGCCUGCGAGUUGUGGUGUCUGGCAAGGUUAAGCAAACGCGAAGCCGUAGCGAAAGCGAGUCUGAAUAGGGCGCUUAGUCAGAUGCUGCAGACCCGAAACGAAGUGAUCUAUCCAUGAGCAAGUUGAAGCUAGUGUAAGAACUAGUGGAGGACUGAACCCAUAGGCGUUGAAAAGCCCCGGGAUGACUUGUGGAUAGGGGUGAAAGGCCAAUCAAACUUCGUGAUAGCUGGUUCUCUCCGAAAUAUAUUUAGGUAUAGCGUUGUGUCGUAAUAUAAGGGGGUAGAGCACUGAAUGGGCUAGGGCAUACACCAAUGUACCAAACCCUAUCAAACUCCGAAUACCUUAUAUGUAAUCACAGCAGUCAGGCGGCGAGUGAUAAAAUCCGUCGUCAAGAGGGAAACAACCCAGACUACCAGCUAAGGUCCCUAAAUCUUACUUAAGUGGAAAACGAUGUGAAGUUACUUAAACAACCAGGAGGUUGGCUUAGAAGCAGCCAUCCUUUAAAGAAAGCGUAAUAGCUCACUGGUCUAGUGAUUUUGCGCGGAAAAUAUAACGGGGCUAAAGUAAGUACCGAAGCUGUAGACUUGCGCACAACUUAGAUUAUUUAAGUUUAGAAUAUGAGAAACUAAGUUAUGUUUAGUUAUAUUUUUACUGAUUUUUAUAGAGUAAAGAUAGAAAUAAAACUUAGUAAAAUCAGUAAAAAUAUUCUUAGGCUAAAGUUAAGUAGUUUAAGUUGUGUGCAAGUGGUAGGAGAGCGUUCUAUUUGCGUCGAAGGUAUACCGGUAAGGAGUGCUGGAGCGAAUAGAAGUGAGCAUGCAGGCAUGAGUAGCGAUAAUUAAUGUGAGAAUCAUUAACGCCGUAAACCCAAGGUUUCCUACGCGAUGCUCGUCAUCGUAGGGUUAGUCGGGUCCUAAGUCGAGUCCGAAAGGGGUAGACGAUGGCAAAUUGGUUAAUAUUCCAAUACCAACAUUAGUGUGCGAUGGAAGGACGCUUAGGGCUAAGGGGGCUAGCGGAUGGAAGUGCUAGUCUAAGGUCGUAGGAGGUUAUACAGGCAAAUCCGUAUAACAAUACUCCGAGAACUGAAAGGCUUUUUGAAGUCUUCGGAUGGAUAGAAGAACCCCUGAUGCCGUCGAGCCAAGAAAAGUUUCUAAGUUUAGCUAAUGUUGCCCGUACCGUAAACCGACACAGGUGGGUGGGAUGAGUAUUCUAAGGCGCGUGGAAGAACUCUCUUUAAGGAACUCUGCAAAAUAGCACCGUAUCUUCGGUAUAAGGUGUGGUUAGCUUCGUACUAGGAUUUACUCCGAAAGCGAAGAAACUUACAACAAAGAGUCCCUCCCGACUGUUUACCAAAAACACAGCACUCUGCUAACUCGUAAGAGGAUGUAUAGGGUGUGACGCCUGCCCGGUGCUCGAAGGUUAAUUGAUGGGGUUAGCAUUAGCGAAGCUCUUGAUCGAAGCCCGAGUAAACGGCGGCCGUAACUAUAACGGUCCUAAGGUAGCGAAAUUCCUUGUCGGUUAAAUACCGACCUGCAUGAAUGGCGUAACGAGAUGGGAGCUGUCUCAAAGAGGGAUCCAGUGAAAUUGUAGUGGAGGUGAAAAUUCCUCCUACCCGCGGCAAGACGGAAAGACCCCGUGGACCUUUACUACAGCUUGACACUGCUACUUGGAUAAGAAUGUGCAGGAUAGGUGGGAGGCUUUGAGUAUAUGACGCCAGUUGUAUAUGAGCCAUUGUUGAGAUACCACUCUUUCUUAUUUGGGUAGCUAACCGGCUUGAGUUAUCCUCAAGUGGGACAAUGUCUGGUGGGUAGU
rnacentral:rRNA from 1 species